UGCCAGCAGCCGCGGUAAUACGGAGGGUGCAAACGUUGUUCGGAAUUACUGGGCAUAAAGCGCACGUAGGCGGCUAAGUAAGUGUGAGGUGAAAUCCCACGGCUCACCCGUGGAACUGCUUUGCAUACUGCUUGGCUCGAGGAAGGUAGGGGAGAGCAGAACUCUUGGAGGAGUGGUGAAAUGCGUAGAUAUCAAGAGGAAUACCAGUGGCGAAGGCGGAUCUCUGGUCCUUGUCUGACGCUGAGGUGCGAAAGCUGGGGUAGCGAACGGGAUUAGAUA
rnacentral:rRNA from 1 species